ensembl:lncRNA
UUUUCUUCGCUUUCGGUGGUUCCGAAAGGGUGCUUCGUAACGUUAUUAGCGUGUGUGGUGUUUCCGGGCUUUACCCGGCUCUCACCUUCCAGCAUUUCGUAGUGGUGGCCCAGGUUGUGUCGUUUACUGAGCGCUGUUUUCAUUCUAGAGGCUGAAGCAAAGGCUUUUUUCUUUUUCACAAUCCAGAUCUUGCCCACUAGCGCUCUUGGCUUUGGCUUUUUGUUCUGUGACCCGGGCUGCUCAGUGGGUCCCUCUCUGCUCCCUGGCCCAAGUGAUGUGUACCUGGUCCCUGAAAAAGACUCUGAAACCGAGCCAGCCACACUUCCAGGAGGAUGCAGGAGCCCCAAUGCCGGUGGGAUGGUUUCCAGGAGGACAUUUCCGCCAUAUAGGUCCCAUCCUUCAACACUGGUCAAAACGCCACAAUUCGGGUCUCUCAGCACUUUUGUGGUGUUUAUACAACAUCCCAGGCAUAUUUCUGGGUGCCUGGUAAGAAUCAAGGCCUGGAGGUAAGCACAUUUCACAGGUGGGAGACUGAGAUUUGGCAGUGUUGGGGGACUUGUCUGGUUCACCAGCAGAAAGGCAAGCAGGUGGUUCUCAAGUUUGGAACCAUCUGAGCUCAGUCUUCUGAACUUUAGCUCCUGUCCAGUCCUCCCAGAAUCUGGUCCUCCCAGGGCCCCACAUGUGGUCCAGCCACCUACAAGCAUCACAUGCAACUUCUGUGUCCCAGAGAGCCCCAGCUCAGGUUGUUGUCCCUAGACAGUCACUGGUGGCCCCCCUGGACAGGCACAAGGGGUCGGGGCAUGACCAGGAGGGCCAUGGACAUGAUGCCAGCAACCACCGACCACUGCACUCCUGGAGCAGGCACACUGGCGACUGGCUCCAGCCUCCUUACUCCCCCACCCUGUGCCCCAGCAGGACCUGCAGGGGGUCCACCAUUCCCACAUUCAGUCUCACUGUCUUAUUAUUGAUGCCCCACUUGUCCACUGGUCCCCAUUCUACACAUGAAACAGACCCAGAAGGGAAAGGACUCUCCCAAGUCCACCUGGCUAGGACUUGAACCCUAAAGAAAGGAGUCAUCACAUAGAUGGAAUGGGAGACUGACAGGCAAAGAGCAAAUAGACAUCCAGGGAGUGGGGCGCCUGGGAGCAGUGCUUCCAGGGAAGGGCAGGGUGAAUCAUCUCUAGGCCUUCACAGAGCCCAACCAGCCAUUUGUCAGAUGUGUCAGACUCCUGCUCAUGCUUUAAAACCCCACCUCCCACGUCCUCUCUUACAUGCCUCUUUCCUUCACCCCACCAGAGGGCACCCACUUCCUCCACAGGUUCCUCCACCCCAAGUCACAUGCAGUUAUGUCUAUGCCUGGGUCUGUCUUCCCAGGGAGGGACAGGGGCUGAGCCAAGGUCUCCUGGAAGCCACUAUCACCUAGCAAGGGACUGCCCCAGAGGCCCUGUCAGGGAGCUUUUGAUGAAUGAUUGGAUGAAUAAAUAAAUGAAUGAAU